CUACUGGAUUUCAGGCAAUGCUUAUUGCUUCAAACCAGGCCGUUCACUUCCAAUACCCACUCCUCACCAACCAGACUUCCAUUUAUCCCUCACACAUCAGGCGGUUUUCUUUCUGUUCUCUGCCUCACACCAGCCUUGUCCCUUUCUGUCGGCACCUGCCUGCUUCCUCUGGUCUUUUCUGGUAGCUUACUUAAUGCAUAGUGUUAUAGUGUUGCAUUGAAUGGAGCCAAGGAAGAGUGAGAGCAGCUUGUAUCUUGGUGGCCGUGUUGGAGGACAACUGGUACACAGGUGCAAGUGGUGACUGCAUUGGAGAGACAUAGGUCCUAAAGGUGCAGCAACAAAUCAGAUUAAGGGAGGCAGCUGAUAUUAAGUGUUAGCUGGUAUUGAGGUGUGAAAAGUGGG